rnacentral:rRNA from 1 species
AUACACCUGUUUCCAUGCCGAACACAGAAGUUAAGCUUCAACACGCCGAAAGUAGUUGGGGGAUCGCUCCCUGCGAGGAUAGGACGUUGCCAUGC